rnacentral:rRNA from 1 species
UACGAGGGGGGCGAGCGUUGUUCGGAAUUAUUGGGCGUAAAGGGCGCGUAGGCGGCUUGGCAAGUGGAAGGUGAAAUCCCUCGGCUUAACCGAGGAACUGCCCUCCAAACUGCUUCGCUUGAGACCGGGAGAGGUGAGUGGAAUUCCCAGUGUAGCGGUGAAAUGCGUAGAUAUUGGGAGGAACACCAGUGGCGAAGGCGGCUCACUGGACCGGUACUGACGCUGAUGCGCGAAAGCGUGGGGAGCAAACGGG